CGGGACACGAGAAAUCUUGUGUGAAUCUGCCGGGACCAUCCGGUAAGGCUAAAUACUCCCAUGUGACCGAUAGUGAACUAGUACCGUGAGGGAAAGGUGAAAAGUACUCCUAACGGAGAGUGAAAUAGAACCUGAAACCGUAUGCCUACAAGCAGUCAGAGCUCCAGUUAUCUUCGGAUAGCGGAGUGAUGGCGUGCCUUUUGCAUAAUGAGCCAGUGAGUUACUCGUAUAUUGCAAGGUUAAGACUAAAAGGUCGGAGCCGUAGCGAAAGCAAGUCUGAAUAGGGCGUUGAGUAAUAUGCGGUAGACCCGAAACCGAGUGAUCUAGCCAUGGCCAGGAUGAAGUCCCGGUAACACGGGAUGGAGGUCCGAACCCACCAGCGUUGAAAAGCUGGGGGAUGAGCUGUGGUUAGGGGUGAAAGGCCAAUCAAACUCGGAGAUAUCUGGUUCUCGCCGAAAUGCCUUUAGGGGCAGCGUCAUGUUAGUAUACCGGGGGUAGAGCACUGAAUGGGCUAGGGGGCCUACAAGCUUACCGACCCCAAUCAAACUCCGAAUACCGGUAUUAUAAUGCAUGGCAGUGAGCUCAUGGGGGAUAAGCUUCAUGAACAAAAGGGAAAGAACCCAGACCAUCAGCUAAGGUCCCAAAGUCGAUGCUAAGUGAUAAAGGAUGUCAAAUCGCCCAGACAGCUAGGAGGUUGGCUUAGAAGCAGCCAUCCUUUAAAGAAAGCGUAACAGCUCACUAGUCGAGGGGUUUUGCGCCGAUAAUUUCCGGGACUAAGCAUCGCACCGAAGCUAUGGACUCUGACAUUUGUAUGUCAGAGUGGUAGGCGAGCGUUCCAUCGACCGUCGAAGGUUGACCCGUGAGGGCAGCUGGAGGAAAUGGAAAUGAGUAUGCUGGCAUGAGUAGCGAUAAAGCCUGUGAAAUGCAGGCUCGCCGCAAGCCCAAGGUUUCCUGAGUAAAGUUAAUCUGCUCAGGGUUAGUCGGACCCUAAGCCGAGGCCGAAAGGCGUAGGCGAUGGAAAACAGGUUUAAUAUUCCUGUACCAGUGCAACAUUGUUUGAACUAAGGGGGGACGCAGAAGUGAAAGGUCAGCCCGGUUUUGAUAGUCCGGGUUUAAGUGCGUAGGGAGUCCUGGUAGGCAAAUCCGCCGGGACAUUAAUCCUGAGACACGAAUAGGAGAGCCUAGCUCAUAAACUGACCCUAAUCAUACUGCCAAGAAAAUCCUCUAUGUUAGAUGCUGCGCUGACCGUACCGUAAACGGACACACGUGGGCGAGGAGAGAAUCCUCAGGCGCUUGUGAGAAUCCAGGUUAAGGAACUCGGCAAAUUAGCCCCGUAACUUCGGGAGAAGGGGUGCCCUUAUUAGGUGAAAGACUUCGCGUCUGGAGCCGAAAAGGGUCGCAGUGACCAGGCUCAAUCGACUGUUUACUAAAAACACAGGUCUCUGCUAAGUCGCAAGACGACAUAUAGGGACUGACACCUGCCCGGUGCUGGAAGGUUAAAUGGAGGGGUUAGCUUCGGCGAAGCUCUGAAAUGAAGCCCCAGUAAACGGCGGCCGUAACUAUAACGGUCCUAAGGUAGCGAAAUUCCUUGUCGGGUAAGUUCCGACCUGCACGAAUGGUGUAACGAAUUGAGCACUGUCUCGACCUGGAGCACAGCGAAAUUGAAGUGUCGGUGAAGAUACCGGCUACCCGCGGCAGGACGAAAAGACCCCGUGAACCUUUACUACAACUUAGCAUUGGAUUCUGGUUCUGCAUGUGCAGGAUAGGUGGGAGGCUGUGAAACUCGGACGCUAGUCCGGGUGGAGCCAAACUUGAAAUACCACCCUUGUAUUGCUAGGACUCUAAUCCCGACCCGUGAAUCCGGGCGAGAGACAGUGUUAGGUGGGUAGUUUGACUGGGGCGGUCUCCUCCCAAAAGGUAACGGAGGAGCUCAAAGGUUCCCUCAGCACGGUCGGUAAUCGUGCGUAGAGUGCAAAGGCAUAAGGGAGCUU
rnacentral:rRNA from 1 species